AGCGAACGCUGGCGGCAGGCCUAACACAUGCAAGUCGAACGAACCUUUCGGGGUUAGUGGCGGACGGGUGAGUAACACGUGGGAACGUGCCUUUAGGUUCGGAAUAACUCAGGGAAACUUGUGCUAAUACCGAAUGUGCCCUUCGGGGGAAAGAUUAAUCGCCUUUAGAGCGGCCCGCGUCUGAUUAGCUAGUUGGUUGAGGUAAUGGCUCACCAAGGCGACGAUCAGUAGCUGGUCUGAGAGGAUGAUCAGCCACAUUGGGCCGGAGACACGGCCGAAACUCCUCCGGGAGGCAGCAGUGGGGAAUCUUGCGCAAGGGGCGAAAGCCUGACGCAGCCAUGCCGCGUGAAUGAUGAAGGUCUUAGGAGUGUAAAAUUCUUUCACCGGGGAGGAUAAUGACGGUACCCGGAGAAGAAGCCCCGGCUAACUUCGUG
rnacentral:rRNA from 1 species